UACAUUAUCUCAUUUAAUCCUCACAACAACCCUAUGAAAUAGGUAUAUUAUCAUCCCCAUUUUACAGAUGAGGAAAUUGAGUAACUCACUCACUCAAGGUCACACAGCUGGUGAGUGUUGGAGCCGGGAUUCGAACCUAGGUCUUACUUGAAAGCCCGUGCUCUCUCCACUAUACUACAUUGCUUCCCACAAAGUUGCCAACUGGACUCUGUUAUAAAAAUUAAAAGCACACAUCACUAAAAUUCUUUGACUUGCAAAGCAAUAAGCCCAUUAACAAAAUAAGUGUUGUAGUUCAUUCCAUUUCUCUGCAGUAAGGCAUUCUAAUUGUCUCAGUAUGUCUGCUGCCAACCAAAGGUGGUAAGUCAGGGAACAUACAAUUAUUUACAGAACACUUUUCAAAAUACUCAUAUCCACGGCCUAAAUACUAUAGAUAUUAUGGAUGAAGAAAGAAGCAUUUCUCCAAUACAAAGCUGCCUGUUCUACAUAAAAUAAGGAUAUUAAUAACACAAGUAUUAUUUAACUCUCUUUAUUUGGCUAGGAAGUGGUUAUCUUGAAGUUUCGAUUUCUGAAACCGUGCUUGUAAGCAUUUCCCAUAUCACUAGAAUGUUCUACUUCUCUGCAUUUUCUAAUUGAGCAUUUACAAAAGGUUUGAAAGUGUACAUAAGUUUAACUUGAAUACCUGGAGUAUGAAUGCCUUACAUAACACAUAACUGCUAAUAACCCUCAGAAGUAGUAUGAAAAAGACACUAUUAAAAGAACUAAAAUCGU